rnacentral:rRNA from 1 species
UACGGAGGGUGCGAGCGUUGUCCGGAAUCACUGGGCGUAAGGGCGCGUAGGCGGCCUGAUAAGUAGGGGGUGAAAUCCUGCGGCUUAACCGCAGGGCUGCCUUCUAAACUGUCAGGCUAGAGCACAGUAGAGGCAGGUGGAAUUCCCGGUGUAGCGGUGGAAUGCGUAGAGAUCGGGAAGAACAUCAGUGGCGAAGGCGGCCUGCUGGGCUGUUGCUGACGCUGAGGCGCGACAGCGUGGGGAGCAAACAGG